UCUGGGAUAAGCCUGGGAAACCGGGUCUAAUACCGGAUAUGACGCGCUCUCGCAUGGGAUGCGUGUGGAAAGUUUUUUCGGUUGGGGAUGGGCUCGCGGCCUAUCAGCUUGUUGGUGGGGUAGUGGCCUACCAAGGCGACGACGGGUAGCCGGCCUGAGAGGGCGACCGGCCACACUGGGACUGAGACACGGCCCAGACUCCUACGGGAGGCAGCAGUGGGGAAUAUUGCGCAAUGGGCGGAAGCCUGACGCAGCGACGCCGCGUGGGGGAUGACGGCCUUCGGGUUGUAAACCUCUUUCAGCAGGGACGAAGGUGACGUGUACCUGCAGAAGAAGCGCCGGCUAACUACGUGCCAGCAGCCGCGGUAAUACGUAGGGCGCAAGCGUUGUCCGGAAUUAUUGGGCGUAAAGAGCUCGUAGGUGGCUUGUCGCGUCGGGUGUGAAAGCUUGGGGCUUAACUCCAGGUCUGCAUUCGAUACGGGCUGGCUAGAGGUAGGUAGGGGAGAACGGAAUUCCUGGUGUAGCGGUGAAAUGCGCAGAUAUCAGGAGGAACACCGGUGGCGAAGGCGGUUCUCUGGGCCUUACCUGACGCUGAGGAGCGAAAGCGUGGGGAGCGAACAGGAUUAGAUACCCUGGUAGUCCACGCUGUAAACGUUGGGCGCUAGGUGUGGGGGCCUUCCACGGUUUCCGCGCCGUAGCUAACGCAUUAAGCGCCCCGCCUGG
rnacentral:rRNA from 1 species